rnacentral:rRNA from 1 species
AUUGAACGCUGGCGGCAGGCCUAACACAUGCAAGUCGAGCGAGCGGCGGACGGGUGAGUAAUGCCUGGGAAUUGCCCAGUCGAGGGGGAUAACAGUUGGAAACGACUGCUAAUACCGCAUACGUUUGGUUUGCCCAGGUGGUAUUAGCUCGUUUGGUAGGUAAUGGCUCACCAAGGCAAAGAUCCCUAGCUGGUCUGAGAGGAUGAUCGGCCACACUGGAACUGAGAAACGGUCCAGAAUCCUACGGGAGGCAGCAGUGGGGAAUAUUGCACAAUGGGGGAAACCCUGAUGCAGCAAUGCCGCGUGUGUGAAGAAGGCCUUCGGGUGGUAAAGCACUUUCAGCGAGGAGGCGUUACUCGCAGAAGAAGCAACGGCUAACUCCGUGCCAGCAGCCGCGGUAAUAC